rnacentral:rRNA from 1 species
UACGGAGGGUGCAAGCGUUAAUCGGAAUUACUGGGCGUAAAGGGCGCGUAGGUGGCCCGGUGAGUCUUUGGUGAAAGCGCGGGGCUCAACCCUGCGUCGGCCAGGGAUACUGCCGCGGCUCGAGCACUGUAGAGGCAGGCGGAAUUCCGGGUGUAGCGGUGGAAUGCGUAGAGAUCCGGAAGAACACCGGUGGCGAAGGCGGCCUGCUGGGCAGUGGCUGACGCUGAGGCGCGACAGCGUGGGGAGCAAACAGG